rnacentral:RNase_P_RNA from 1 species
AGGCUGCCGGGCGGCCGCAGGCGCUUCGGCGCGUGAGGAAAGUCCGAGCACCGCAGGGCAGGAUGCUGGUUAACUGCCAGUGGAGGCGACUCCAAGGAAAGUGCAACAGAGAGAUACCGCGUUCUUCCUCCGGGGAGGGCGUAAGGGUGGAAAGGUGCGGUAAGAGCGCACCAGCGGCCUGGCGACUUGUCCGCUAUGUAAACCCCAUCCGGUGCAAGAUUGAUAGGAGAGCACAUGCGGCGGCCCGUCGCGCUCUCGGGAAAUCGCUUGAGCCUGCUGGCAACCGCAGGCCUAGACAGAUGGCCGUCCAAGACAGAACUCGGCUUACAGACAGC